rnacentral:sRNA from 1 species
GCCAGGCACAGUGGUGCAUGCCUGUUAUCCUAGCAGCUGGGGAGGCUGAGGCAGGAGGAUUGCAUGUUCAAACCCAGCCUCAGCAACAGCGAGGCGCUAAGCAACUCAGUGAGACCCUGUCUCUA